CUUAGUGUAUGAAAAUCACACUUCUCACACAGUUCUCUUUCUAUUCCUUCCUCAUUCCUCAUGGGGUUGCUCGCACUCUCUCCUGUUCAUCAGCAAUUGCUCCAGUUGUAUUAUCGAGCUUAUCAAUGCCCGGAAAUACCCACGUGUAGCGAGCAAGGCGCUUGGGGGCGAGCUACACAUUGGACUCCCUUCGUCUCGCGGGCUCGCUACAGAACCGGAAGUAGCAAUGUGACCCGGGUGACCCAAUGCUAUAUCAAUCACUGAGUUGUUACUCACAGUUUCUCGUCCCUCCUAGUGUCGUUCACACUCCACAAGUCCUGCCAACUAUAAUCCAAGAACACGAACACACACACACACGACGGCCGUACACACUGGCCGUGUAGGUCAGGAGGUUCUCGGGGUCACAGGGGAGGUAAUCCGCGGUGACGUCACUGAGCUCCUAGCCCACGUGAUGCUGGGUGUGGAACCGAAACACAUUGAUCCCGGAAUGGUCCUGGGAGGCUGUUUUUCUUCCUCCAGUAGAGCUCCAUCUCCUUCAAUCCAUACAAUUAAAAUCUGUAACUCGGAGCACUAGGGAUCCUCAGCAACAGGAGGCUGACGUGGCAUCCACGGGACAGUUUCUUUGUGCUUAUGACUUGAAACUGAUGAUUCAUGGACAUAUUUACUUCAACUUCUUUAAACUAGUUUGUACUGAGACAGUGUCAAAAGUUUAACCACUGCGGCAACACAACCGCUGCACAGUUUGAAAAGAUAGAGAGAACGGGACAUGACCAACUGAUUGUUUGUAACAACACCCCACUGGUGUGCAGGGUGCAUUACACCUUGAAGCUAAGCGCGACACGACUGAUGUAUUAACCCCGUUUCCAGAAAACAAUCUGAAAAAUAUGAACUGAUUAAAUAACUACCUUAUCAGUCUAUCAACCGACCAUGUGUGUUCCGAGAAGACCGACGGGUCAUCGGUGGCCACAAACAGUCGGCGUUCUUGAUGUCCUCGUGCUGUUGUCUCAGGUCGUAAUACUCCUCCACGUGCUUCAUGUACUCCUCCAGACUGUAGUACCUACCCUCAGCGUUCACCUUGUCUGUCCGCCUCACCUGGAUGCUGCACGACGAGACGUUUAAAUCCCAUUUUCUCGCCUUGUGUCUGGAUGGUCUGCUGCAAGUGAGGCUGAGGACGCAGGAGGAAGCUGACCAGCUGACCGACCCACCAGGUCGGGGGGUCACCGUGGAAGGUCUUUAACCUCUUGGCCAGGUC